rnacentral:rRNA from 1 species
UACGGAGGGUGCAAGCGUUAUCCGGAUUCACUGGGUUUAAAGGGUGCGUAGGUGGCUUGGUAAGUCAGUGGUGAAAGCCCGGAGCUCAACUCCGGAACUGCCAUUGAUACUGCUUAGCUUGAAUCACGUCGAGGUGGAUGGAAUAUUACAUGUAGCGGUGAAAUGCUUAGAUAUGUAAUAGAACACCGAUUGCGAAGGCAGUUCACUAGGCGUGUAUUGACACUGAGGCUCGAAAGCGUGGGGAUCAAACAGG